CGAUGAUUACUAGGUGUAGGGGGUAUCGACUCCCUCUGUGCCACAGUUAACGCAGUAAGUAAUCCACCUGGGGAGUACGGCCGCAAGGUUAAAACUCAAAGGAAUUGACGGGGGCCCGCACAAGCAGUGGAGUAUGUGGAUUAAUUCGAGGCAACGCGAAGAACCUUACCAGGGCUUGACAUCUCCUGUAGAUCUAAGAGAUUAGAUUGUCCCUUCGGGGCAGGAAGACAGGUGGUGCAUGGUUGUCGUCAGCUCGUGUCGUGAGAUGUUCGGUUAAGUCCGGCAACGAGCGCAACCCCUGUGGCCAGUUGCCAUCAUUCAGUUGGGCACUCUGGCAAGACUGCCGUUAAUAAAACGGAGGAAGGUGGGGACGACGUCAAAUCAUCAUGCCCCUUAUGUCCUGGGCUUCACACGUACUACAAUGGUAACAACAGAGGGCAGCCACACCGCGAGGUGGAGCGAAUCCCAAAAUGUUAUCCCAGUUCGGAUUGCAGGCUGAAACUCGCCUGCAUGAAGCAGGAAUUGCUAGUAAUGGCAGGUCAGCAUACUGCCGUGAAUACGUUCCCGGGCCUUGUACACACCGCCCGUCACACCAUGAGAGUUUGUAACACCCGAAGUCAGUAGUCUAACUCAGCAAUGAGAGGGCGCUGCCGAAGGUGGGACAGAUGAUUGGGGUGAAGUCGUAACAAG
rnacentral:rRNA from 1 species